AAUGAACGCUGGCGGCGCGCCUAAUACAUGCAAGUCGAGCGAGAAGACGUAGCAAUACGUUUGUAGAGCGGCGAACGGGUGAGGAAUACAUGGGUAACCUACCCUCGAGUGGGGAAUAACUAGCCGAAAGGUUAGCUAAUACCGCGUACGCUUCUUGGACUUCGGUUCAGGGGAGGAAAGCGAUGCCGAGGGUAUCGCGCUCUUGGAUGGGCUCAUGUCCUAUCAGCUGUUGGUGAGGUAACGGCUCACCAAGGCUUCGACGGGUAGCUGGUCUGAGAGGACGAUCAGCCACACUGGCACUGCGACACGGGGCCAGACUCCUACGGGAGGCAGCAGUAAGGAAUAUUGCGCAAUGGGCGAAAGCCUGACGCAGCGACGCCGC
rnacentral:rRNA from 1 species